CCCCUAGAUGUUCUGGGCCGCACGCGCGCUACACUGAACAGUUCAACAAGUCUUAACCUUGGCCGAUAGGUCUGGGUAAUCUUUGAACGCUGUUCGUGAUUGGGAUAGACCUUUGCAAUUAUGGGUCUUCAACGAGGAAUUCCUAGUAAACGCAAGUCAUCAGCUUGCAUUGAUUACGUCCCUGCCCUUUGUACACACCGCCCGUCGCACCUACCGAUUGAAUGGUCCGGUGAAAUCUCGGGACGGCGGCUUGGUCGCUUGCGUCCGACUGCUGAAACUUGAUUAAACCAUAUCAUUUAGAGGAAGGUAAANUCGUANCA
rnacentral:rRNA from 1 species